rnacentral:rRNA from 1 species
CGGAUGCCGUGGGAGGAAUGUGUGGUGUAGCGGUGAAAUGCAUAGAUAUCACACAGAACACCGAUUGCGAAGGCAUCUCACGAAUCCGCUAUUGACGCUGAGGCACGAAAGCGUGGGGAUCAAACAGGAUUAGAUACCCUGGUAGUCCACGCUGUAAACGAUGAUGACUAACCGUCGGCGAUACACAGUCGGUGGCCAAGCGAAAGCGAUAAGUCAUCCACCUGGGGAGUACGACCGCAAGGUUGAAACUCAAAGGAAUUGACGGGGGCCCGCACAAGCGGAGGAACAUGUGGUUUAAUUCGAUGAUACGCGAGGAACCUUACCCGGGCUCGAACGGCAGAUGAAUUGAGUAGAGAUAUUCAAGUCUUCGGACAUCUGUCGAGGUGCUGCAUGGUUGUCGUCAGCUCGUGCUGUGAAGUGUCGGCUUAAGUGCCAUAACGAGCGCAACCCUUGCCGUUAGUUGCCAUCAGGUUAAGCUGGGGACUCUAGCGGGACUGCCACCGCAAGGUGUGAGGAAGGGGGGGAUGACGUCAAAUCAGCACGGCCCUUACGUCCGGGGCGACACACGUGUUACAAUGGCGAGUACAGAGGGAAGCUACCUGGCGACAGGAUGCAGAUCUCGAAAGCUCGUCCCAGUUCGGAUUGGAGUCUGCAACCCGACUCCAUGAAGUUGGAUUCGCUAGUAAUCGCGGAUCAGCCAUGGCGCGGGAAUACGUCCCG